UAAUUUUAAGGGAUUAAAUUAGAUUUCGAAUUAAUAAAAUAUACCCUAAUUUGAUUAAAAUUACUAAACCCUAAUCAAUCCAUUAUCCCCAAAUUAAACCCUAACCUCCCUAAUACUAUCAGCACCGCCAUCCACCCCCUAAAACCUCCAGUUAUUCACCCAUUCACUGAAAAAAAGAAAGAAAGAAAAGUAGGAAGAAAGAAAGGGGACAGAGAAGAGAGGGAGAUUCGAGAAAGCAGGGGGGAACGGAGGAGAAGAAGAGGAAAGAAAGGAAGGAGCUUGCCGGCGCUGUUGGGUCCGCCGCUACCGUUGCGCGCCGUUGUUGCCGCCGAGCCCAGUGUCGUCGCGUCACUGCGGCUAUGCCGUCACAGAUGAGGAGAGAGGCGACAGAGGGAGAGAAAAUCCGCGGUGGAGAAAGAGAAAGCGCGCUCGUGAGGGAUGUCAAAGUUGCGUUCCGCCGCUGUGUUGCACGAGGUUGCCGCCGUCGCCUCAAGGCUCGCCAUCGUCAUCCUCGGCGGGAGCCCUUGCUAUCACUAGUGGAGCCGUAUCCGCCGCCGGUCUGAGCUGAGAAGAAAUGCAUGGAGAGAGAAUAGGGGGCAUCGUGGGAGCUCCAUCGUACCACUCCUGCCAGCCGCCGCCAAGUUCUACUGCCGAUUGGAGCCCUAGCCACUACCGUCAAUUGGGGUCAAAAUCGUUGCUAUGUUCCCAGAGCUGUCAUGGAAGUGGCUGAUUCGGUUCCAAUUCCUCCAUUGUUGAGACUGACCAUUAUGGUGGUGUUGAGGCCAACAGGAAACUGUUAGAGCUGCUGUUGAUGAGUUUGAUAUUGCUACUUCAAUUCUGGGCUGUGUUCACUUUCAAUACCUAUUCUAUUUGGAUUCUCUAUUCUGCUGUUACUACCAUUAUCGUCGUGGAAUUGUUGCCGCUGCUGCCAUGAAACAAAAAGGGAAGGGAGUUGUCACAUUUAAUCUACGCGGGUUUAACUAAAUUGAGGUAGGGGAUUAUUCAAAAGUUAAAAUAUUUUGGGAUUGAAUACCUGAUGAGUCUAGUAGAUUAAUGCAAGUGAAUUAAUUUCUGUACUUGAAAUGAUUUUCUGCUGUGAUUGAAAUUGUGGCUGAGUUGAUUAUUAAUUUAUCAAAUUUUUGAGUUUAUGGCAAAAAAAUUAUUGAAUAUGUUGAUGUUGAACCUUUGUUUAAAAGUGGUUUUUAUUGAUUAUGCAAAAUGGAUUUGGAAAUGUUGAUUUGAAAUGUUAGUUUUGAUUGGGCCGAAGUUGAAAAGAGGGGACCCGAAAUGGGUGGCAAACUCCAAUUUUUAGGGGAGGUGCUGUCGAAAUUUUUCUAAGAAUUUCGAAGUAAUUUUGGGUGUGAUUUCAAAAAUGAUUUUGAUUUAAGCAUCUUUAAUGAGAGAAGUAUGUUUGAAUGUUUUUAAAGAUUAUUGAAGAGACUUGGAUUUUUAUGAUUUGAUUAACUUGUAGUUUUAAAACUCAUGUGAUUUCUAAUGAUGAAAAGAGAUUUGAUUAACUAGCAAAAUACUUUAAAAUAGUAAAUUGAGUAUAAAUUCAAGGGUUUGAGAAUAGGAAAGGAAAGGAAGUCUAAGGUUUUUAAUGAAAAAGAGGAAGAAAGUUAUUUUAAGAGAUAUGAAGAAAAACAUGUGGUGUUAAUUUGGAGGCGAUUUUAGUGAGUUGUUUAAAGGUUGUCUUUGAAAUUGAGGUGUAAUUUAAUGACAAUUGAGUUGUUUGAGGUCUGGUGAUGAUCUUGGAUAAUUAUAGUGCUGGAUAAUUAUAGUAGUGUGGAGUGAUGACUGUGAUUGAUGAUGUUGGUCAUGAUAUUGAUGACAAGAUUUGUGAUGAAUGAAACAUGGUUGAGAAUGAUGUGGAUAUUGAAGAAUUAUGAUUGAAAUAUUCAUAUGACUUAUUUAUUUGAAUUAUCUGAGAUACGAGUUUCCCUAGGUAAAGUACCGUGGCUUGCCACCAUGUGUACCAGGUUGAGACUCGAUACUCUGUUGAC